CUAACGAUUGAUCUAGUUACUUAGAAAGAUGAAAGAUUAAAAAUAUAUAAUAAUUUAAUAUAAAUUAAAAAAUUAUAUAAAAAAAGAGAAUAUAAUCAAUGAAGAAUAUAAAGUCUAUAUUUAUAUCAAUGAAUAAUGAUCGAUAUAAAAUAAGUCUUGACCAAAAAGAGUGCCAGCAGUAGCGGUUAAACUCUGGAGGCGAACGUUAAUAAUUAAGGCUUAAAGAAUCCGCAGAAUGUAUUCUAAAAUUAAAAUUUUUUUUAAUUUAAAAAAGAGAAUAUAGUGUUUAAGAGAAAGAUUAAGGAAUUAUUUAAGGAGCGAUGAAAUGUGAAGAAAGAAAUAAGACGGAUAUAAAUUGAAGAUAUUAAUCAAAACUUAAACAGACAUUGAGAGGAUGAGAGCUUGAGGAGUAAACGGGAUUAGAUACCCCAUUAAUUCAAGCCGUCAACUAUGAGUACUAAGAAAGAAAUUAAAAGCGAAGGCUAAGUAUUCCGCCAGGUGAG
rnacentral:rRNA from 1 species